AGAGGACUCUGUAAGGACUGUUGCAGAUCACAGAAGCCUUUGGCUUCAUGGUGCCUGGCACACAGAGCUACUGGAUUCGUGGGCACCAUCUGGAUUUCCAACAGGGAUUAAGCUCUUGUGUCCCAGGGUCCUCAGCAGCAAAAUGGGUAGUAAUGAGCCUUCCUGCCUCCUGGGGUUAUUGUGAGGCUUGAUGCAUACAUCCAGGGCAGGGCCUUCCCUUCAGCCCAUACCACUCUGUCUUUAAACAGCUAAGGAACAAGAUGCCCCGGGACUCUUCUUCCCUUUAUCAUCUUAUUGCCCCC
ensembl:lncRNA